UGGGGAAUCUUGCACAAUGGGCGAAAGCCUGAUGCAGCGACGCCGCGUGGGGGACGAAUGCCUUCGGGUUGUAAACCCCUUUCGGCAGGGAAGAAGCGCAAGUGACGGUACCUGCAGAAGAAGUCCCGGCUAACUACGUGCCAGCAGCCGCGGUAAGACGUAGGGGACGAGCGUUGUCCGGAUUCAUUGGGCGUAAAGCGCGCGUAGGCGGUUUGGUAAGUCGGAUGUGAAAACCAGAGGCUCAACCUCUGGCCUGCAUCCGAUACUGCCCGACUAGAGGUAGGUAGGGGAGAUCGGAAUUCCUGGUGUAGCGGUGAAAUGCGCAGAUAUCAGGAGGAACACCGGUGGCGAAGGCGGAUCUCUGGGCCUUACCUGACGCUGAGGCGCGAAAGCUAGGGGAGCAAACAG
rnacentral:rRNA from 1 species